GGGGGAAAGAAAAGUACAAACAAACAAACAAUAAAAAGAGAAAAAGAAAAUCAACGUGAAUAUUCUGGCAAGCGUCCAUCGUUUAUCUCAUAAAUCUGUAAAGCAAGACGAGUUGGUAUCGUUCCGCCAUAUUUCAUUUUCUUCCUCGUUGAUUUCUCAAGGAGGAAAGGAAAGAAAGUAUACGUAGAAAGGACGCUUCGUGCCGGCUGCAUUCUAAACGAUGCUCUACAACUCCGGCGGACUGAAAAUUAGGUUAAAAAUUCAAUUGAAUUCGCCGUUUCUCUCGUCUCGGGCUAGAAAACGCGAGAUGGUUUUAUGCGCUAACUCAACGAGCCAUGCGUCAAUAACAUUCUUAUUUUCAUAUAAUAGAUAAUAAUAUAGAAAUGAGAUAAAGAAAACUCUAUACCAAAAAGAAUCAUAAAUUUCUAGUUGACCGUAGAAUAAUCGAUUUUACGAUAAACCCGUUAUAGCAUAGUUUUUAUUAUGUAAAAUUGCAACUUAAUCGUGCGUACGAUAAAUUUUCCCUUUCCAUUACGUACAAUAAUUUUACGUAAAUCCAUUAAAUUCGUUACGGUACUUUUUAUAAUGGUAAAUAAAUAAAAUUUAAUAUUUCAUAAAAUAUUACGAUGAGUAUCGUUAAUGUAAAUAUCCGAUAUAAGAUAUUGCAUAAUGCAAUUUUAUAAUAAAUAAAUUUCUAUAUUAUUUUUAUCGUAUGAAUUAAUUUCAAAGAAUUAUUAAUCCAUUCAAAUUAACACGAUUGUUAAUUAAAAGUAAUUUAUUAAUGGAUCGAAGACUUUUUUUUUUUUUUUUUGAUCUUUUCGUAUUCCUUGAAUUUCAAAAGAAAUUCUGAAAUCGAGAGAAAUUCUCUUGAAAAUGAGAUCAACCUGUACUCUUCUGUUCAGAUUUUCUAUGAAAGAAAGUGCGUUGAGAGUUAGAAACACGUGGUAAUGUUCGUCCCGGAUGUUUUUACGAUGCAUUAGGUACCUCGUACAUACUCCGUUAUACUCUAAGAAAUCUUGCUAAUGAAAUUAGAUCGCAAUUAAAGA